rnacentral:rRNA from 1 species
AUUGAACGCUGGCGGCAUGCCUUACACAUGCAAGUCGAACGGUAACAGGUCUUCGGAUGCUGACGAGUGGCGAACGGGUGAGUAAUACAUCGGAACGUGCCUAGUAGUGGGGGAUAACUACUCGAAAGAGUGGCUAAUACCGCAUGAGAUCUACGGAUGAAAGCAGGGGAUCGCAAGACCUUGUGCUACUAGAGCGGCCGAUGGCAGAUUAGGGAGUUGGUGGGAUAAAAGCUUACCAAGCCGACGAUCUGUAGCUGGUCUGAGAGGACGAUCAGCCACACUGAGACUGAGACACGGCCCAGACUCCUACGGGAGGCAGCAGUGGGGAAUUUUGGACAAUGGGCGAAAGCCUGAUCCAGCAAUGCCGCGUGCAGGAUGAAGGCCUUCGGGUUGUAAACUGCUUUUGUACGGAACGAAAAGCCCCGGGUUAAUACCCUGGGGUCAUGACGGUACCGUAAGAAUAAGCACCGGCUAACUACGUGCCAGCCGCCGCAGUAA